AUUGAACGCUGGCGGCAGGCUUAACACAUGCAAGUCGAGCGGAGAGAGGUAGCUUGCUACCGAUCUUAGCGGCGGACGGGUGAGUAAUGCUUAGGAAUCUGCCUAUUAGUGGGGGACAACAUUUCGAAAGGAAUACUAAUACCGCAUACGUCCUACGGGAGAAAGCAGGGGAUCUUCGGACCUUGCGCUAAUAGAUGAGCCUAAGUCGGAUUAGCUAGUUGGUGGGGUAAAGGCCUACCAAGGCGACGAUCUGUAGCGGGUCUGAGAGGAUGAUCCGCCACACUGGGACUGGGACACGGCCCAGACUCCUACGGGAGGCAGCAGUGGGGAAUAUUGGACAAUGGGCGCAAGCCUGAUCCAGCCAUGCCGCGUGUGUGAAGAAGGCCUUAUGGUUGUAAAGCACUUUAAGCGAGGAGGAGGCUACUUUAGUUAAUACCUAGAGAUAGUGGACGUUACUCGCAGAAUAAGCACCGGCUAACUCUGUGCCAGCCGCCGCCGUAAAAC
rnacentral:rRNA from 1 species